rnacentral:rRNA from 1 species
UCAGGAUAAACGCUGGCGGCGUGCCUAAUACAUGCAAGUCGAUCGCUGGACUUCCAGCUUGCUGGAAUGAAGGAGAGGCGAACGGGUGAGUAAUACAUAAGCAACCUGCCCACGAAGACUGGGAUAAUCCUGGAAACGGGGACUAAUACCGGAUAGGUAGUGUGAUCGCAUGAUCGCACUAUUAAAGGUUCAAGACACUGGUGGAUGGGCUUAUGGCGCAUUAGCUGGUUGGUGAGGUAACGGCCCACCAAGGCGAUGAUGCGUAGCCGGCCUGAGAGGGUGAACGGCCACAUUGGGACUGAGACACGGCCCAGACUCCUACGGGAGGCAGCAGUAGGGAAUUUUCGGCAAUGGGCGCAAGCCUGACCGAGCAACGCCGCGCGAGUGAAGACGGCCUUCGGGUUGUAAAGCUCUGUUGUAAGGGAAGAAUUGGCAUGAGAGAAUCGUGCAGUGACGGUACCUUACCAGAAAGCCACGGCUAACUACGUGCCAGCCGCCGC